AAGGCCAAGCUGAUGACUUUGCCUGACGCGCUGAGAGGUGGCGCAUGGCCGUCGCCAGCUCGUGCCGUGAGGUGUCUGGUUAAGUCCAGGAACGAGCGAGACCCUCACCCUUAGUUGCGACCGCGAAAGCGGGCACACUAAGGGGACCGCCACCGUUAAGGUGGAGGAAGGAGGGGGCAACGGCAGGUCAGCAUGCCCCGAAUCACCUGGGCCGCACGCGGGCUGCAAUGGUGGAGACAAUGGGAUCCGAACCCGAAAGGGGGAGGUAAUCCUUGAAACUCCACCGUAGUUGGGAUCGAGGGCUGCAACCCGCCCUCGUGAACCUGGAAUCCCCAGUAAUCGCGUGUCAUCAUCGCGCGGUGAACA
rnacentral:rRNA from 1 species